UGCCUUACACAUGCAAGUCGAACGGCAGCACGGGAGCAAUCCUGGUGGCGAGUGGCGAACGGGUGAGUAAUAUAUCGGAACGUGCCCGGUCGUGGGGGAUAACGUAGCGAAAGCUACGCUAAUACCGCAUACGAUCUACGGAUGAAAGCGGGGGAUCGCAAGACCUCGCGCGAUUGGAGCGGCCGAUAUCAGAUUAGGUAGUUGGUGAGGUAAAGGCUCACCAAGCCGACGAUCUGUAGCUGGUCUGAGAGGACAACCAGCCACACUGGGACUGAGACACGGCCCAGACUCCUACGGGAGGCAGCAGUGGGGGAAUAUUGGACAAUGGGCGAAAGCCUGAUCCAGCAAUGCCGCGUGAGUGAUGAAGGCCUUCGGGUUGUAAAGCUCUUUUACUCGGGACGAUAAUGACGGUACCGAGAGAAUAAGCCCCGGCUAACUCCGUG
rnacentral:rRNA from 1 species